CUCCUUCUGAAAAAAUAGAAGGUUGGCCCUGCCCUAUGCUAAACUCUAGUAAAUGGCCGCAGUAUCUUGACUGUGCAAAGGUAGCAUAAUAACUUGACUCUUAAUUGGAGUCUGGAAUGAAAGGGUUGACAAGCUUCCAGCUUUCUUCUAAAAAGCUUCUAAAUUUUAGCUUCAGGUUAAAAUUCCUGAAUGAGGGAGAGGGACGAUAAGACCCUAUAGAUCUGGGCCUAUUUUUUUUCUAAGGAAAAGAGAUGGAAUUGUUUGGGAUGAAACGAAGUAUGAAUGAGAACACUCGUUAAUGAAAGUUUGAUUGAACAAAAGAAAGAACCUUAACUUAGAGGACAAAAGGAAAGUUACCUUAGGGAUAACAGCAAAAUCUCUCCCUUCAGUACUUAUGGGGGGAGAGGCUUUUGACCUCGAUGUUGAAUUAAGCUGUCCUCUUUACGUAGAAGGAAAGAGGGUUAGUCUGUUCGACUAUUAAAAGCUU
rnacentral:rRNA from 1 species